UCUCUGCGUUGGCGUUCUUCACGUAGAU
rnacentral:sRNA from 1 species